AUUGAACGCUGGCGGCAGGCCUAACACAUGCAAGUCGAACGAGUGGCGGACGGGUGAGUAAUGUCUGGGAAACUGCCCGAUGGAGGGGGAUAACUACUGGAAACGGUAGCUAAUCCCGCAUACCAUCGGAUGUGCCCAGAUGGGAUUAGCUAGUAGGUUGGGUAACGGCUCACCUAGGCGACGUGCCCUAGCUGGUCUUCGAGGCUUACCAGCCACACUGGAACUGAGACACGGUCCAGACUCCUACGGGAGGCAGCAGUGGGGAAUAUGGCACAAUGGGCGCAAGCCUGAUGCAGCCAUGCCGCGUGUAUGAAGAAGGCCUUCGGGUUGUAAAGUACUUUCAGCGAGGAGGCGUUACUCGCAGAAGAAGCACCGGCUAACUCCGUGCCAGCCGCCGCGGUAAUAC
rnacentral:rRNA from 1 species